rnacentral:lncRNA from 1 species
AGACAGGAAAAGGCAGAUUCCUAAAAGAUCUUGAAGACUAGUUUUUAGAGCAGUUUAAGGCUUACAGCAAAGUUGGUAGGCAAGUUCAGUGAUUUCCUUUAACGGCCCCCACCCUUCGCCCCCCCAGAAGGCACAGCCGCCCCCCUCAUCUAUGUUCCCAGCAGAGGGUACAUUUGUGACAUUCACUGAAGCUGCGUUGACUGGAUCAUAGUCCCCCGAAGCCCACAGCUUACCUUGGGGUCCUCUCUUGGUGUCGCGCCUUCUACGGGUUUGGGCGAGUGUAUGAUGAUAUUUAUCCAUCAUCACGUUAUCAUACAGAAUUUUUCCACCGCUCUCAAAAUCCUCCAUACUCUGCCCGUUCAUCUCUCUCGUCUGACCCAGGCAACCCCUGAUCUCCACCGUUCUGCAGUUUCCAGAAUGUCGUGUAGUUGGAAUCAGACUCUAUGCAGACUUUGCAGACUGGCUUCUUUCACUUGGUUGCAUGGAUUUAAGGUUCCUUUGUGUCUUUUCAUGGCUUGAUAGCUGCUUUCUGUUUAGUGCUGAAUGAUGUUCCAUUCGCUGGCUGUGUCUGUGUAUUUAACCAUUCCCCUACCAAAGGAUACCUUGAUUGCCCCGGGUUUCUGCAAUGGUAAAGAAAACUCCUACAAACAUCCAUGGACAAGUUCCUGUGUGGACAUAAGCUUUCCGGUUUUUUGAGUGAAUAUCAAGAAGUAUGAUUGCAAGAUCAUAAGAUAAGAGUAUGUUAACUUCAUAAGAAACAACCAAACUGUCUUUCUUAGUGGCUGCGCCACUUUGAAUUCCCAGCACCGUGAACGAGAGUUCCUGUUGCUCCACAGCCUGACCAGUGCUUGGUGGUGUCAGUGAACCAGACUUUGGCCAUUCUGACAGGUGUGAGUGGUGUCUCCCUGUCGUGUUAAGCGUCAUGUCUCUGACGACACAGGAUGUGGAAGUCUGUUCCUACGCUCAUUUACCAUCUGUGUCUCUUCUCUGGCGAGAUGUUUGCGUAGCUAUUUGGCCCAUUUUCUCACCAGGUUCUUUUCUUAUUUUGAGUUUUAAGAGUUCUUUCUCUAGUUUGAAUAUCAGUCCUUUAUCAAACGUGUCUUAUGCAAAUAUUUUCCCCCAGUUUGUGCCUUGUCUUCUCAUUCUCUUUCACAGAGCAGAGCCAUUUAAAAUUCCUACAUCUUGGUAAAAUGCUGCUUAUCAGUUAUUAAUUUUAUGGAUCGUGCCUUUGGUGUUAUAUCUAAAAAUCAUUGCCAUGUCCUAGGAGAAAACAUAGUUUUCUCCCAAGUUAUCUUCUGGGAGUUUUAUGGUUUGUGUGUGUGUGUGUUUGACAUUCAGGCCGACGAGUCAUUUUGAGGUAAAAUAUUCUGUUGUUCUUUUGGCCACUCCUGUAGCUUUUGUGGAAAUUCCUGGACCCGGGGUAGAACCUGCACCACAGCAGGGGCCCAAACUGAUGCAAUGACAACGCCAGAUCCUUGACCUGUGGCCCUGCAGGAGAAGGCCAAUUUUCCAUUAAUUUUUGUCAAAUGUAUAAGGUCUGCAUGGAGAAUCUUCUUUUUUUUUUUUUUUUUUUCCUGUGUGGACGUCCAGCCGUUCCAGCACCAUUUGUUGAAAAACUAACUUUGCCCAUUGUAUUGUCUUUGCUCCCACUACCAGUUGGCUCUAUUUGUGUGUGUCUAUUUCAGGAUUCUAUUCUGUUCUAUGAACGUGUUUUCCUGUCUUUUUACGAAUAUCACCCCAUCCCGAUCACUACAGUUCUGUCGGAAGGCUUAAGACCCAGUAGAGUCAGUCAUCCUGCUUUGUUUUUCUCCUUCCAUAUUGUGCUGCUUUUCUGGACUUUUUGACUCUCCAUAUACAUUUUAUUUUAUUAAAAAAAUUUUUUUUGUCUUUUUAGGGCCACACCUGUGGCACAUGGAGGUUCCCAUGCUAGGGGUCCAGUUGGAGCUGAAGCUGCUGGCCUGCACCACAGCCACAGCAACACGGGAUCUGAGCCACAUCUGAGACCGACACCCCAGCUCAUGGCAACGCUGGUCCUUCGCCCACUGAGCGAGGCCAGGGAUCGACCCCACAUCCUCAUGGAUGCUAGCCAGGUUCACUAACCGCUGAGCCAUGAGGGGAACUCCUCCAUGUACGUUUUAGAAUCCAUUUGUGGUAUCCACAAAGAGCUGCCUAGGAUUUUGAGUGGGAUGCCUUAAAUCUACAGAUCAAAUUCGGAAGAGCUGGCCUCUUAACCACUGCCUUCCUCUCCACGAGCUUGGAACCUCUCUCCACUCAAUUAGUUCUUCUUUGAUUUCUUUCAUCGGUUUUGUAGCUUUCCUCACAUAGAUUUUGUUCCCGUUUUGUUAGGUUUAUUAUAAGCAUUUCCUUUUUCGGGGGCUCAUGUACAUGAUACUGUGUUUUAAAUGUCAAUUUCCAGUUAUUCAUUGCUAGUAUAUGAACUAGGAAUGUGACUUUUGUAUUUUAAGCUUAUAUCCUGCAGUCUUGCUAUAAUUGCUUAUUAGUCCCCAGAGUUUUCUGAUUCUUCGGAUUUUCUGUUUAGAUGACGUGCCAUUUGCGCACAAACACAGCCUUAGUCCUUCCUUCCCAACCUGCAUACCUUUUAUUUCCUUUUCUUGCCCAACUGCAUUAGCAAAGACGUUCCAUACAAGGUUGAGAAGGUGGUACAGCUGGUUUUUCCGCUCAGCAGUGGAUAUUUGUUGUUUCUGGGUUUUGCCUGCUCUGAGGAGAGCUGCUUUGUUCAGAUCAUACAGCACAUGUGUGGACAUAUGUGCUCUCUUCUCAUGGGGAAGCGCCCAGGCGUGGGAUGCUGCAUUGCAGGUCAAAGAGAUGCCGGACGGUCCGAGGCGCAGCCGAGCUCCUGUCCAGGGCGGGUUUCUGAUGGGCAGCGUGUCGGUGGCUUUUGACGCUCAUCUGAUAGUCUCUGCCUUCCAGUCAGAGUAUUUAGACCAUUUAAGUUUUGCUGACUCUGGACGGAGAGGGUUGAAACCUACCCUCUUCCUAAAGCUUUUUGCUUUUGUCCUGUUUGUCCUUUGUUACUUCCCCCUUUUUUGCCUUCUCUUGGGGCCUCUUCUACAAUUCCAUUUUACUGCACCUGUCAGCUGACCGGUGACCCUUUGGGGGCUUUUCAGUGACGGGGCAGCAUCGUGACUCUCACGUUCGCCCCUCGCUCAGACACAGAAGAAUUCAGAGACACGGGUCUCUGCAGGGCUUCCUGCCCACUAGGAGUUUGCAGCAUUUGCCUCAUGUGGGAGAGAGGUCCAGGGACUGCCCAGUUUCUCCUCUGCAGCCCUCGGGGCGGCGGCGGGGGGUGGGGGGGGGAAUUCCGUCCCUCUUCUGGGCACCUGGCAGCUGGCACAGGCCCUCCCUGUAGCCAAGCCAGCUCCCCAGCUUGUUUUGCCCUUAGGAAUCCAUCAAACCCUCAGCCACAUUCCUUUUAUCUGAGGUCCGGGCCACCGUGCUUUGGUCAGAAUCAUCUGAGGUUUUGUUUGCUUCAUUUUGUUUGGUGCAAGAGGCAAGGAGCAGAUGGUAUACUGUUAACAGAUGGAGAGGAAACCAGAAAGCCUCCAGUCUCUUCUCUGCUUCCUUUAUGUAAAAACGGAGUUCCUGCAGAAAGGACACGCAGGCUUGCUGGGAGUGAGAUCCCAACAGAGAAGAACGCGACACCUGCUCUCCAAGGGCGUGUGGGCGGUCCGACCCAGAUAACCUGAAAGACCUUGGGAACGCGUGUGAAGUGCUUGGAGGGAACCUCUCUGGAAUCUUGAAGAACGAGACAGACACCAGGACAGAAGAGGUGGCAGACGCGCCAGCUCUUGGGGCGGGGAGGAGGAGACUACGGAUGCGCAAGCUCACUGUCCACAGGUGGGUAGUUUUGGUCUAGAGGUCAACUGCGUCCCGAGAAAUGCUCGGGGAAGAAAGGAACAAGCAUUGGCUCAUUGAAAGGAAAAAGCCAAGGUCGCCUCCUCCUGCGUAUGAAGUCUUAGGAGGUGGGGGAAGCCGCCUGGGUCUGCUUCCAUCGGGGCGGGGGGAGGAAAAAGGCAACAGCACACGUGCGUGAAUUCAGAGCUGGACCCGGGGAAUUUUAAUGCUGUGUCCCUGCAUCUAUUCUGCUCAAAACUGAUUCUCUCUCAUCCCAGUGACGGUGGGAUCACUGUGACUGAGCAGCCUCGUGUCUAAAAUAAUAAAAUAUCCGCCCCGAUGAGGAAGGGUAAGGGCGUGGCGGGGCACAGUCUUUGUCUUCCUUGCGUGUUGCUGGUGCGGCCGGUGGGGAGGCCGUCGAGCCGAGGUCCGCCCGUCGCCGUUGGCCCUCGCGCCCUUCACUUUGUCCCAGAGCCACCGUGUCUGCGGAGAUGCUCGCCGCUGUGGGCGAGGGUGGUGCCAGACGCAGGGAAAGGCCAGGGGACACGCACAACGAGACAUCUGAACUUGGCAAAGUACGAAAGCUCCCCGCUUGCGAACUCUCUGGACCCCAGACUAGAGAACGCGAUGUCCCGAGCUGAGUCUCUGUGCCUAGAAUUGGGGGGCAGGGGGCGCACGGGCCUCGAAGGGCUACCGAGCUCCCGGCAGUCCCGCCUCAGCCUGGGGCGCCCGCAACAGCGCCUCGGUCCCCCUGAGGCCGAGCAGAGGCUUCUUCACGCUCCUCCUGGUGAGUGAUGGGCGCAGAGUUCACGUGAGCCCACGAGCACCUUGAACGCCAGGUAAGCCUUUCCGUUUCCCCAGGUCCUUGGAGGAUCCGUUCAGCACUCCAGGUGAGGGUGCGCCAGAAAGAGCAGCCUGGACGUUCCAAACCCUUCGAAGCAUAGCAGCGCCGUCAAGGCACCAACAGGUAAACCUCAGGCCGGAGAAGCCACAGGGGUUUCCAGCCACAGCGGCCAAGCUGAGCUCAAGCGUUUCAAGCAACCCCUUCAAGAAAGAGCCGACUUGGGGGUCCCCAUGCCGCUCACUCAGAGAACCAGGUAGGGGAUCCGGGUCCCUGCUCUUGGGAAGAAUUUUGAUCAAGUUCAUCAACCCCUGAAAGAGUUGAGAAAUAUUUUACCACAUUGGAAAAACGACUGAGGCCAGCAGAGGCAAAGAGGUGGGCCGGUCGGCUCCCACAGGCCUGUGGUCCGAGCCUGGGCCUCUUCCUGCCCAGGGCAGCACGACAGGAUCCGUUCCCUGUUCCUGCUCCUUCUCUUCAGCCCCUCCCGUCAAUUCCUUCUCCCAGCUGCGUGGGCAUUUGAUACCAGGUCCCCGAAGGGUGAGCCCUUGCACAGAGACCUCUCCACUGUCCGCACCCCCGGACGAGGGCACGAUUUCAGAACACCUGCUCUCCUUGCCGUCACUUCUCCACGUGACUCCCAGCCCACGAGCCACCUCUGCAAAGGACCGAGGCCAGCAAACCUCUUCCUGAUGUACAACCAGUGGGACUCAGCUGCCUCCUGGACCGAUUCACUUCUCACAAAAUUAUCCUGACAGCCUCGCUUGCUGACCUCGGGGAACCCAGACUGAACCCGUUGCCUUGCCUUUGGGACCAGGACGGGCGUUGUUUAAAGAUGGGCCCUGUAUGUCGCUCCAGAUCAGAAUGUUUUCCUUUUAUAGCAUUUUAACAGCUUUUCCCAGAAAACAUCAGCCUUACACUGUGUCACGCUGUAUUUAAUUGCACAAUAUGCUCGGCUCUUUAAAAGAAUGUUGGAAAGAUUAAGUUUUAAAAUGAUAAGCCUGG